rnacentral:rRNA from 1 species
CACGCAGGGGGCAAGCGUUGUCCGGAAUCAUUGGGCGUAAAGAGCUCGUAGGCGGCUCAGUAAGUCGGGUGUGAAACCUCCAGGCUCAACCUGGAGACGCCACCCGACACUGCUGUGGCUAGAGUCCAGUAGGGGAGUGUGGAAUUCCCGGUGUAGCGGUGAAAUGCGCAGAUAUCGGGAGGAACACCAGCGGCGAAGGCGGCACUCUGGGCUGGUACUGACGCUGAGGAGCGAAAGCGUGGGUAGCAAACAGG